ensembl:lncRNA
CCCCAAGCUGGCGGCCCCGGCGCGCAUGGAGGAGCCCGCGCCCGGCGCCAUCGUCGUCCGCAUCGGCAUCCCCGACCUCCAGCAGACGAUAAGCCAUCCUCCACCCAGCUGAGCCCCCAGUAACCAAUUGAGCUGCCCACCACCCUGCUGAGCCACCACAUCCCAACUGAGCUGCCCACCACCUGUCUGAGCCAUCUACCUCCCAAUUGAGCCCCUGUCACCCAGCUGAGCAUUCUACCACCCAGACUCCACCAAGGAGGGCAGAACCGCUGAGCUCGGAGCAGAAAUUGGGAUGGAAAGGAUGAAUGAGACUGUCCUUCGUGCGCUCAGUGGGCUGAAAACCCACUGGUGAAAAUGGUGGGGAAAAUCUGCCUGUGCGCUUGUGUGUGUUGUAUGAC